AUAGUGAGAGCUUCUGUGUUCUUCCUGAAGUCUUCCCCAUCUCCUUCAUAUCUUUGCAUGACACACUCACUCACUUCCUUCAGGUGUCUGUUCUAAUGUCCCAGUCUGAACCAUCUUAUAUAAAAUAUCAAAGCUCCUUUCCUCCGUGGCUCUCGUCUGUUUUGCUCUGUGUGAUUUUCCCCCAAAAGUCCACCAUUUAUUUUACAAGAGGAUAAUGAGGGACAACCUGGAGCUGUGAAAAGAGAUGGUUUUGGAGGCAAACCUAGGUUUGAAUCUUGUUCAUUUAAUACUCAACCAGUCUUUAUUAAGGGCUUCCUCUGUGCCAGCAACUGUUCUAGGCACCCAGGAUCCAGGCUUGAAAAAGACAAAGGGUCUGCUCUCCUGAUGCUUUCAUUUUAGCGCAGGGGAUCAACAAUAAACAGCUAAACAAAGAAAUAAAUAUGAUCACAUCUGUGCUAUGAAGAAAAGUAACUAGCUUAUUAACUGAGAAUUUGUCCAAGUUAUGUUUACCGCCAUGAGCCUCAUUUUUCCUCUGUAAAAUAAGAAACAAGUCUCUGUUUUCCUUGUUGUAGAUUAAAAUGUUAUAUGUAGAGCACCUUACAGUUAAUGAAGAGUCUCUUGCCAGGCGCAGUGGCUCACGCCUGUAAUCCCAGCACUUUGGGAGGCUGAGGCGGGUGGAUCAUGAGGUCAGGAGAUCGAGACCAUCCUGGUUAACACCACGAAACCCUGUCUCUACUAAAAAUACAAAAAAAUUAGCUGGGCGUGGUGGCAGGCACUUGUAGUCCCAGCUAUUCGGAAGGCUGAGGCAGGAGAAUAGCCAUUGUCCCAUAUUAUCGAAGACUGAUUAGAGAGUUACUUGUGAAGAUGGUAGCAGGAAAGUCUUUCUUGGGCAAUGCAUCUGUUGUGAAUAUUUCAGUAAUAAUUUAUAGAAAAUUUAAACUGACUAGAACAAUAAAAGGACCUUAUUGGUUCAUAUUACUGAUCAGUCCAGAGGUAGGGCUUACUUCAGGUAUAGGUUGAUCUAGCAUCCGAAACCAACAAUCUCCUUUUCUUUCUCUCUUUCUUUCUCUCUCUCUCUCUUUCUUUCUUUCUCCCUUUCUUUCUUUCUUUCCUUCUUUCUUUUUCUUUCUUUCUUUCUCUUUCUUUCUUUCUUCUUUCUUCUUUCUUUCUUUCUUUUCUUUCUUUCUUUCUUUCUUUCUUUCUUUCUUUCUUUCUUUCUUUCUUUCUUUCUUUCUUUCUUUCUUUUCUUUUCUUUUCUUUCUUUCUGUAACUCUCUUCAUCCCUCAGUGUAGUAGUCAGUUUUGUGUUGCUAUCAUGUAAUACCGGAGGCUGGGAAAUUUAUAAAGAAAAGGGGCUUAUUUGGGGUUCUGUAGGCUGUACAAGAAGCGUGGCGCCAGCAUCUGCUUCUGGUGAUGGCCUCAGACUGCUUGCAAGGAAUUUGCCCAAAAACCAGGACUAUCUCACUAAUUUCUUCAUAUUGAGUACAUGCUAAAAUUAUAAUAUUCUGGAAUAUUGAGUUAAACAAAAAUAUAAAAUUAUUUUUGCUUGUUUCUUUAUACCUUCUAAUUUAACCAAUAUAAAGCUUAAAAUUAAAUAUGGAGCUUGCAUUAUAUUUCUGCUGGGCAGUGCUGCUUGAGGCAGAACGAUUCUGGGAUUGGUGAGGUGGGGGAGAUAUGAAGCGUCCUUGUGACAGGGAGAGUACCUUUGUUCUAGGUUCCUGCCCCCUUGUAUUAGUCCAAGGCUCACACUCCAUUUUAUCUUAUUUUAAUAUACAGU
rnacentral:lncRNA from 1 species